GAUGAACGCUGGCGGUAUGCCUAACACAUGCAAGUCGAACGAAUCUUUUAGAUUAGUGGCGGACGGGUGAGUAACGCGUGAGAACCUGCCUCCAGGCUGGGGACAACAGUUGGAAACGACUGCUAAUACCCAAUGUGCCGAAAGGUGAAAGAUUUAUCACCUGGAGAAGGGCUCGCGUCCGAUUAGCUAGUUGGUGGGGUAAGAGCCUACCAAGGCGUCGAUCGGUAGCUGGUCUGAGAGGAUGAGCAGCCACACUGGGACUGAGACACGGCCCAG
rnacentral:rRNA from 1 species